GACGAGCGCUGGCGGCGUGCUUAACACAUGCAAGUCGAACGGAAAGGCCCUGCUUUUGUGGGGUGCUCGAGUGGCGAACGGGUGAGUAACAAGUGAGUAACCUGCCCUUGACUUUGGGAUAACUUCAGGAAACUGGGGCUAAUACCGGAUAGGAGCUCCUGCUGCAUGGUGGGGGUUGGAAAGUUUCGGCGGUUGGGGAUGGACUCGCGGCUUAUCAGCUUGUUGGUGGGGUAGUGGCUUACCAAGGCUUUGACGGGUAGCCGGCCUGAGAGGGUGACCGGCCACAUUGGGACUGAGAUACGGCCCAGACUCCUACGGGAGGCAGCAGUGGGGAAUAUUGCACAAUGGGCGGAAGCCUGAUGCAGAACCGCCGCGUGCGGGAUGACGGCCUUCGGGUUGUAAACCGCUUUCGCCUGUGACGAAGCGUGAGUGACGGUAAUGGGUAAAGAAGCACCGGCUAACUACGUG
rnacentral:rRNA from 1 species